rnacentral:ncRNA from 1 species
GAUGAGACUUCCAAACAGGGACGUCAGAGACGAUGACGUUGAUAGGCUGCAGGUGUAAAGUCAGCAAUGGCAUAGCUGAGCAGUACUAAUGACCCGAAAACUUACGUUA